rnacentral:pre_miRNA from 1 species
AUGACUGAUUUCCUCUGGUGCUUAGAGUUCACUCUGCUUUCUAGCACCAUUUGAAAUCGGUUAU